AUUGAACGCUGGCGGCAUGCCUUACACAUGCAAGUCGAACGGCAGCACGGGGGCAACCCUGGUGGCGAGUGGCGAACGGGUGAGUAACGCAUCGGAACGUGCCCAGUAGUGGGGGAUAACUAGUCGAAAGAUUAGCUAAUACCGCAUACGACCUAUGGGUGAAAGCGGGGGACCUUUACCGGCCUCGCGCUAUCGGAGCGGCCGAUAUCUGAUUAGCUAGUUGGCGGGGUAAAAGCCCACCAAGGCGACGAUCAGUAGCUGGUCUGAGAGGACGACCAGCCACACUGGGACUGAGACACGGCCCAGACUCCUACGGGAGGCAGCAGGUGGGGAAUUUUGGACAAUGGGCGCAAGCCUGAUCCAGCCAUGCCGCGUG
rnacentral:rRNA from 1 species